GAUGAACGCUGGCGGCGUGCCUAAUACAUGCAAGUCGAGCGAACGGACGAGAAGCUUGCUUCUCUGAUGUUAGCGGCGGACGGGUGAGUAACACGUGGAUAACCUACCUAUAAGACUGGGAUAACUUCGGGAAACCGUAGCUAAUACCGGAUAAUAUUUUGAACCGCAUUGUUCAAAAGUGAAAGACGGUCUUGCUGUCACUUAUAGAUGGAUCCGCGCUGCAUUAGCUAGUUGGUAAGGUAACGGCUUACCAAGGCAACGAUGCAUAGCCGACCUGAGAGGGUGAUCGGCCACACUGGAACUGAGACACGGUCCAGACUCCUACGGGAGGCAGCAGUAGGGAAUCUUCCGCAAUGGGCGAAAGCCUGGCGGAGCAACGCCGCGUGAGUGAUGAAGGUCUUCGGAUCGUAAAACUCUGUUAUUAGGGAAGAACAUAUGUGUAAGUAACUGUGCACAUCUUGACGGUACCUAAUCAGAAAGCCACGGCUAACUACGUG
rnacentral:rRNA from 1 species